CACCUCACCCUCUUAUUUCUUCUAUAUAAAAACAAUCCUAGUCCUCUCGUUGUAUAUCUUUUUUAUCUUCGACUUCUCUUUUCCAAUUCAUACGUAGCAAUCUUAGAUCUCCCUCCUCAGUUUCAAUCUCCGAUGGAUAACCGUGGCCAAUCUCCGCCGAUGGUGACCAAUCGUGUUGACAGAUUAGUCCUUCUCCUCGACUUCUCAAGAAAUCCGAUAAGAACCCUAGAUCUCAGCGUUGUUUCUCUCUCUCGCGACGAUCGCGGUCGCGACAAUGGACCGGAUGUAUCGCAAGCCUUUACCCAAGGUUUGGAGACCGGUGAUGGUGAGAGUCGUCUCCGUCGACGAAGACGGAAGAGGAGGAACGGUGGAGCUUCUUGGUUACCGCAACGCCCCUAUUGGAAGAAUCAAUGCUGAUGAUGAUCUUGUUCUUAACAGAAUCGAGCCUGCUAUGCUAUCUUCAAGGGAUCCACUUCUUCUGACCAAGAACGUGAGCUUUCAACGUAGAGUCUCUUGUGAGAGAAGAUUCAACAAAAGGAAGCAUGUCCAUGUGAUUAUGCGAUCUGUAGCAAGGAAGACUGGUUAUGAUUUGGAAGAUUUAUACAAGCUUCUUAAUUGGCCUAGUUACCGGUUGUUGAUGGAUUUAGAGUUUCUGGGAUUUUUCAUCUUUGGUCCCUAAUGCGGUUAGAGUUGCAUUGCUUUAUGGUGUUCAGAACAUCACUCUUCAAACUCUAAGGAUUACAAAUCCUCAAGUUCUUCUCAGUUCUUACGGCUUGGAUCAAGAUCGUUCCACUUGUUGGGCUUGUGCUGAAAUUCGCCAAUUUGAAUCCCUUUUGAAGGACAAUGAUCGGAUGCCCUGGGAAGAAUCGUUGUGUAUUGAUGAUCUCGUCGAUAAAGCAGUUCAGGAAGAUCUGGCCCAUGAAAAUGAUGGUAGCAUUGAAUGUCUAUCAUAUUCUGAGGAUGUUUUCAUUACUUCGGGUAUUAAAUCUUCUCAAGGGGAGGUACCUUUGUACUACUUAAGUGCAUUGGAUGUUGUCUUCGAUCACCAAUACUCCCCUCCUUCUUGGAUCAGACUUCUCUUAGAUAAGGCUAAGAACUUGCGUGGGAGCAUCACAGUAUCGGUUAUUUGGUUUGCUAGCUAUAAGAACAACUUACAAGGGCAGGCAAUAUAUAAGCCAACCGAAGAAGAACUUAAAAGCAUAUGAGAGGAAUCCUCACUCUAAGAGGCACAGUAUUCACACCAUGAGUUUGACAGGUGCUGGGGUACAUGAAGAGGAUGAUGGCACUCUUAUCCCGUACUUUGAGAUACUGGACAGCAUCGGUGACAUUGGCGUUGGUGAUAGGGGAUUUUUACGGUUUGAUUAUGCGUGUCCCAUCGUUGAGUUUGUUGAGAUGACUCUUUGAAGGUUUGAUCUCAUCUACCCAGGUCUAGUUUUGGGUGCGGGUUAUAAUUAGCCAUAACUUGGUAAGUUUUUGGGAGUGGUUGUGGCUAAUUUUUUUUUGUCUCGGAUUAUGAUCUCGUUGUAAAAACUGCCAUUUGACUUGAUUACUAUCUUUUAUAUAUUUGACUCAUCGGCUAAAUUUUACUUUUUGAAGCGAAUUUUAGUUUUUAAUUUUGUGUUUAUAAACUGUUUUCCAUAAAUAUAUGACAAAUAUCUUCAGAAUAAAUUUCAAAAUUGCCAACUAGAACGAAAAAGACAACAAAACAUCCGAAUCAAAAGCAGCAAUGACCCGAUCCCAUUCUGCUACAAAUUCAGUCUUCUCUUAGGCCUGUGAACAAGUAAAGUCACUGCUGAGCUGGUAAAGUCAACACAAAUAGCAAGUGACGUGGACUUAAACAAAGGGUGAAGCAGAGCCUUGAGCUGAAGCAGAGGGUCCUUUUAUAUUGACUCCUACUGAAACGUCAAACCCACCCGAGGGUUUGACUCCUACCCGAACCCAAACCCAAACCCAAAACCGACUGUUGGUUGGAAGCAGCUUCGCCGGUCGCCGCCAGUGACAAAAUCGACCAAGCAUGAUCCGCAAAUAAGCUAUCUCUGUAUCAAUUUUGAGCUUCUUUGUUGUGUACAAAACUUUCUGGGUUUGGUUUCUUGCCGAUUCGGAUUAGAAAGCGAGGAUUUCAUAUCAACAACAACAGUUUUAUAUGAUCUUUGAACAGUGUGCAUGAACUCUUUGUAUAUGUAUAUAAUGUCUGUCUUUUGCGGGUUUCAGUGUUUGGACUCUUUGCUUUACUGAAAACGUAAUUUUUGUUUGUGUACUUGUGUUUGUCUGUGGGACAGAUGAUGGUAGCGAGAAACCGAAGAGCGAUUGUAAAGACAAGAAAAAAAAACUGGAAAAAUCUGCAACUCAAGAGGAGAUAGUGAACCAUAAGUGUAACUCGGCUUUCUUAAGAUAACAGUCUCUGUUCUGAGAAAAAAGCAAGAAGAGAAAGAUGAAGAGUGUCCUGCAAGCAUAUGGCGAAGACUUUUGUUGUCCAAGAGAUGUAUGAAGCGAAAAUGGUUAAUGUUGUCGAAGGGAUUGAAGCUAUACGACAAAAUGGUUGACGCAAAGGAGGUUUCGGUUUCUCAACUCGUUUCUAUUGUCAACAAUCUGAGACUUCCUGAUAGAAGAGGUCAACUUCAAAGUGAGGCAUAUGUGGGUUGUAAACGGCCAAAUAAGAGGACAUGGACGCGAGAUGAUCCAACUUGGUCUCCCCAUAGCUGAUAGAGAGUAUCAACUUGGUCUCUCUAUUUAUAAUUUUCUGUGUAUGGGUUAACAUGAGAGAAGAUAUGGGUUUUAUGCAGAUCGAAGAGUAGAGCCAAUCCCAUCAGCUGUUUCAGACAUCAUUGAUCGUUUGGUCUCUAAGCAAAAUCAUUCCUGUUAAACCAGACGCUUGCAUCAUUGCCUUCUUCAGCGAGGUUAAAGUUGAACUGAUUGCUAAAUUCGUUAAAACCCCUAAAAACUAGUUUGUUUCCGUUUUUUUUUUUGUCUCUCUAUUUAUUGUGAACCAUAGGGAGAUCACUCGCAGCCCCAUAUGUUUGAAGGUGCAACUCUAGCUAUUUACAAAAUUAUAGUUUUUAAUUAAGACUCUUCCUUGUCGUUAUGUAGUAUUAUAGUAACCAGAAAAUUCGACGGAGUACAAAAAUACCAAGACAAGACACAUGGUUUCACCCACAUAAGCAUAAAAAUUCUUCUUGCAUUAGAUAACUCAAAAUGGUUGAAAAAUGUUGAGAAAAAAAAAGAAGAAAGUUAGAGCUAUAUACUCGCGCUCCACUAUUUUUGAAUUUUGACGUAGGCGGCGAAAGGUCCAGCUUAGGACUUCUUCGACUCAUCUUCUGUGUUGGAAUUGGAUUAGAUUUUGGAUAAUUUUUGCAACUUCCGAAACUACCCAUUAUUCUUUUCUUAUAUCUCAGAAUUGCUUCAUUUCUCUAUUAGAGUAUAUAUAUAUUGGCUUGUUGAGCGUUCAAACCUAAUCAAGUAUUUAGGGAUGUUAUGUCGAUAUGUUAGAGAUACCAAAUCAGUUGAUUGAUUAUAGUUUGUGAGAAAUCCAAUAAUAGUUUGUGAGAAAUCCUCAAGAGA